rnacentral:rRNA from 1 species
AGAGUUUGAUCCUGGCUCAGAACGAACGCUGGCGGCGCGUCUUAAGCAUGCAAGUCGAACGGUAAGGGAGAGCUUGCUCUCCCCUAGAGUGGCGGACUGGUGAGUAACGCGUGGGUGACCUGCCCUGAAGAUGGGGAUAGCUAGUAGAAAUAUUAGAUAAUACCGAAUGUGCUCAUUUACAUAAAGGUAAAUGAGGAAAGGAGCUACGGCUCCGCUUUAGGAUGGGCCCGCGUCCCAUUAGCUGGUUGGUGAGGUAAAGGCUCACCAAGGCAACGAUGGGUAUCCGGCCUGAGAGGGUGAACGGACACAUUGGGACUGAGAUACGGCCCAAACUCCUACGGGAGGCAGCAGCUAAGAAUCUUCCGCAAUGGACGAAAGUCUGACGGAGCGACGCCGUGUGAAUGAAGAAGGCCGAAAGGUUGUAAAAUUCUUUUGCAGAUGAAGAAUAAACAUAGGAGGGAAUGCCUGUGAGAUGACGGUAAUCAUGCGAAUAAGCCCCGGCUAAUUACGUGCCAGCAGCCGCGGUAACACGUAAGGGGCGAGCGUUGUUCGGAAUUAUUGGGCGUAAAGGGCAUGUAGGCGGUUAUGUAAGCCUGAUGUGAAAUCCUGGGGCUUAACCCCAGAAUAGCAUUGGGUACUGUGUAACUUGAAUUACGGAAGGGAAACUGGAAUUCCAAGUGUAGGGGUGGAAUCUGUAGAUAUUUGGAAGAACACCGGUGGCGAAGGCGGGUUUCUGGCCGAUGAUUGACGCUGAUAUACGAAGGUGCGGGGAGCAAACAGGAUUAGAUACCCUGGUAGUCCGCACAGUAAACGAUGUACACUAGGUGUCGGGGCAAGAGCUUCGGUGCCGACGCAAACGCAUUAAGUGUACCGCCUGGGAAGUAUGCCCGCAAGGGUGAAACUCAAAGGAAUUGACGGGGGCCCACACAAGCGGUGGAGCAUGUGGUUUAAUUCGAUGAUACGCGAGGAACCUUACCUGGGUUUGACAUCAAGAGCAAUGACAUAGAGAUAUGGCAGCGUAGCAAUACGGCUCUUGACAGGUGCUGCAUGGCUGUCGUCAGCUCGUGCCG